UUAUACGAUUUAAUAUAAUCUGAUAAAUUUCAAAACAAAUAUGGAAAAAAAAAUCUUUGGCAAAUGAGGACAUAGAGAAGAGGGAUGGGUUGAGUGGGCUUAAAGGAAGUGAAGCCGCGGUGGAGGACGAGGCGGGGGGAGGGGACCAAGUGGUGGACGAGGGGGAGGGAGGAACGGAGGAAGCGGUGGAGGCAGAGCUGAUAUAACCUCUGCUCCAUUGGCCUCGCCCGUGGCUGCUGCUUGCUAUUCCCUUCCCUUCCUCGGUUGGCUGCCCACCAGAAUCACCUUCAGCGUCCGUCCAUCCAUUCAUUCUGAAGUAGGGUAGGAAGAAGAAGCAUGGACGACAGAGAGGCUCGGAAACAAAACCAAUUGGCCAAGAAAAUUGACAAGAUCCUCGACGAGACUCGAACCGCCUUUGCCACCCACAACUGCAACCUCAAGGUCCUCUCCGCCCUCCUCUCUCAGUCUCACCCCCAUUUCUUCUCUGCUUCUCCAAAUCCCCAUCUCCUCUCUUAGACUUCCAGCGCCGCGCCCCUGCUCCUCGAGCUCGGCCUCCCUCUUUGUAGCACAACUCUCUCUCUCUCUCUCUCUCUCUCUCUCUCUCACCCGUAGCUCAUCAGCUCAUCGGCGAAUCACCAUUGUUGUCCCCUUGUUGGGAGAACCUGUCCCCCACCCCCCUCUCCUCUGAAUUUUGAUUGGAGCCCCACUCGAAUCCGACCUGCCGAUUGCUCCGCCAUGAAGUAGCGUCUUCGAGUAAACUGUACAGAUCUUAUUUGAAUACGCUGGGCGAGAAAUAUCAGGAGUUUGUUAGGGAAGCGUCGGAAGGAGAGGGAGCAUUGGAGGGAGAGGAAGUGGAGGAAGGAGACGGUGGAGAGGAAGGAGGAAAGGAAGAUGGAGAGGAGAAGGGGGUGAGGGGACCAAUGAGGGCAGGAGGAGAGGGAGAAAAGGAGGGAGGUGAGCUUGGAGAGAAUGAGCUGCCAUCAGCCGAAGAAGGAGCGGGCGGUCGGGGAACUAUAGGCAAUAAUUUUUUUAUGCCAGAAAGAAUCACAUCAUUAAUUUACUCGAUUAUCAAAUGCAUGAACUAUAUUAUGAUAAAAAUGGUAAUAUAGAGCUUUCGAAUUAAUUUUUAAUUAUGCUUGUAUAAAAUUAUAAUAACUUGUGAAGUAAAAUAAGUAGAUUAUGUUUCUCAUGUUGAUAGAGUUACAUGGAACUUUUGAAAGGAGAAAUAUAUAUUCGGAAUUUAGAAGGGAUUUAUAAGGGAGUUGAUGUUGGGACUAGUUUGUUAGACAAAACGAUCUGUACUUUGUUAGACAGAACUGUCUUUGGAGUAUUAAAUUGAUAGUUUUCUCCAAAGCUUGUUUAUUUUAAAAACAAAAUUAUCUUUCUCCAUAAAGUAAAUAAUUUUUAAUGUAUUAAUUUUCAAAUACACUCAACAAAAAGGGAGAUUUACCAUUCCCACGAGUCUCUAUUUUGAAUCUCUAAAGUGGGUUCUACAAUUUGAAUUUAAAAAAAGAGAGAAAAAAGGGCAAAAGUUGCAGCGUUGGCCCAUGGGUUGCCACGCGGCAGCCUCCCAUUGGUAUCUCAUGCUCAAAUGAGAGGCACACUCCAAUGACAGAGAUGCUGUCGCGUGUCUCUCUCUCAUGCCACGUGGGCAUAAGAGACGUGGCAAAGACUGCCGCUAGAAGUAGUCUAAGGUGCUAAGUUAGAGGAAUCAUACAGAGCAAAAUCGAGGGAAAUGAAGUAGGGAUAGUUGGGAUAUAGGUAGGACAUCUUGGAAUUGAAGCUGAGGCUUGCAUUUGCUUAGAUAAUCAACACGGUUUGGUAUGUCAGAGCUGAAAUUGUUGUCUUUGUUGUGUUUGUUGAUCUUCUCUCUAUUUGUUAUUUGGUUUAUCUUGCAUGUGGGUGAUUUGCAUGUUGGUUUUUCUUUUGACUUGUUAUUUGGGCUUCUUGCAUGUGGUUGAUGUAGAGUUGUUUUAUGUUGAUUUUCGCUAAACGAUCAAAGCUAGGUUCAAUAAGCUCAGCUAUACGUUUGUAUCUGAUUCUUGAACUCUUUGUGCGUGUUAGUACUUCUUAAGAACUCGUUAGAAUGAAAAUUUUAGAGCAUUGUAAUUGAAGAAUUGAAGGGAUUAGAGCUCUUGAUAUAUAGUGAGCUAAUACUUAGGUGGUAGAAUUGGUUGCGAUGGCAAGGCAGUAGGGGAUUUUCUUUUGCCUUUAAUUAUUAAGCAACUCUUUCAAAUUGGUUGCUUCCUUCGAAAUGAUUAGUGGCUUUAACUACUUAUCUAUAAUUAGGAGCCAACGAGUUUUGAAGGAGUUUUCUUUAAGGAUGAUGUGGCACCAUUUGUCAUAUUAUAUAUACAUAUAUUUGGAUAGUAUGAGCUUGAUAUAACUCAGUGAUUUGUCAUGUUUAUGGUAUAUAAGGACCGAAGAGACUGAACCCUUGCAUCCGGAAGACUCAACUCGUUGAGUUAUUUCUUGGAAUCUUUAUGACUUAGAGGCUAGAUCAGUGGAGGAGAAACUUUUGGAUAUCAAGGAUCAACGUGAAGAUUUUUGGCAGCUAGAUCUACUCCUAGUUUUGAAAAAUAUUCGGUGGAUGAAAAGGAUGACAAAACAAAGGCUUUUUGAAAAUCUGUCAGCAACACUGCCGCAGGUCAUGAUCUGGUUCGUACUCAUUUCAGAUGCCUGCAUAUUCACUUUGUUCUAAAAUUAUCAUCCAUCUUUAGUUCACUUCUAAAUUUGUUCCGUUGUGUAUUGCUCUAAACUUUUUGCUUAUUUGUUGCUGGUAUAUCGGUUGAGCUGCUUAUAAAAAGAAAGAUGAUAUUUUGAUUGAGGGACAAAAUGCACUAUGAAUCAAGCUUGUGCCUUAAGAAUGGUAUGUACUGCGGUUUUUCACCGGAAUAUAAAAGAAACUGUUUGGGAAGCCUGUGUACCAUCUCAUGUGACUUAACCUGGAUUUUCCUUUAUCAUUCAUGAGGUGGAUAUCGUUGUGUGUCCACCUCAUGUUCUUUCUAAAACUGAGAUAAAGAGAUUUUCUUCAUUCUACUUGUUGUAGACGUUAGACUGAAUGGUAAUCAUUUUGAUAUGAAAAAUUAUUACUAGAUGAAAAAUAUUUGGGGUUCCCUUUCAUGCUUGCCAUGAAGAUGAGUUCUCUGGUAUUUCCACUUUCUCUUUAGUAUUUCUUGAAGCAAAAUGAGAAAUUGGAUAGCUUUACGAGAGAUUUAUUGUUUUCCAAAAAAACUGAUUGUGGCAGUAGAGCUAGUCUCGUAACGUUUUCUCCCUCAUCUUUUAUUUCCAAGUAGCAAAAAAAUCAUAGUCUGUUUAUCUCUUCGAAAUGUAAGAAAAUCUACAUUUGGCAACCUCUCGAGUUAAAUGGUGGUGUAUGCGAAUGCAAGAACAGAGGCAUGGCAGGAGUUUGUGGUGGCGUUGAAGGAAUCCAUAGCUCAUGACUGUUGUAGGAUUCCAUAGGACAAUGUGGCUCCAUCCUUGUUCAAUGAAGGGAAAAAAAACAGAUUGAUCAGCAAGAGGUUCCAUU